AGCUGAGGUGUGAUGCGGACCGAAAUUUCAGUAGGGAAGCGAGUGAGUUCACGCUGGCGAGAAAAGCUGCUAGUACGUCCAAAGGUACCCGUACCGGAAACCGACGCAGGUGGGCGAGGAGAGGAUCCUGAGACGAACGGGAGAACCCUUGUUAAGGAACUCGGCAAAAUGACCCCGUAACUUCGGGAUAAGGGGUGCCUGCGAGAGCAGGCCGCAGAGAAUAGUCACAAGCGACUGUUUAGCAAAAACACAGGUAUCUGCGAAAGCGAGAGCUGACGUAUAGGUGCUGACACCUGCCCGGUGCUGGAAGGUUAAGGGGACAUGUUAGAGCAAUCGAAGCAUCGAACCGAAGCCCCAGUAAACGGCGGCCGUAACGAUAACGGUCCUAAGGUAGCGAAAUUCCUUGUCGGGUAAGUUCCGACCCGCACGAAUGGUGUAACGACUUGUGAGCUGUCUCAACAGGGGGCCCGGUGAAAUUGAAGUAUGGGUGAAGAUGCCCAUUACCCGCGACUGGACGGAAAGACCCCGUAGAGCUUUACUGCAGCCUGAUAUUGAGUUUCGGUAACUGAUGCACAGGAUAGGUGGGAGUCUGAGAGACAUGGGUUUCGGCUCAUGUGGAGACGGUGUUGGGAUACACUCUUCGGUUACUGAAAUUCUAACAUAGCUCUGUGAAACCAGAGGAUGGACAGUGUCAGGUGGACAGUUUGACUGGGGCGGUCGCCUCCGAAAGAGUAACGGAGGCGCCCAAAGGUACCCUCAGAAUGGAUGGAAACCAUUCGAAGAGCGCAAAGGCAGAAGGGUGCCUGACUGCGAGAUUGACAAAUCGAGCAGAGACGAAAGUCGGGCUUAGUGAUCCGGCGGUAUUGAGUGGAAAAGCCGUCGCUUAACGGAUAAAAGCUACCUCGGGGAUAACAGGCUGAUCUCCCCCAAGAGUCCACAUCGACGGGGAGGUUUGGCACCUCGAUGUCGGCUCGUCGCAUCCUGGGGCUGAAGCAGGUCCCAAGGGUUUGGCUGUUCGCCAAUUAAAGCGGCACGCGAGCUGGGUUCAGAACGUCGUGAGACAGUUCGGUCCCUAUCCAUCGUGGGCGUAGGAGUCAUGAGAGGAGCUGUUCCUAGUACGAGAGGACCGGAAUGGACGCACCACUGGUGCAACUGUUGUCGUGCCAACGGCAUAGCAGGGAAGCGAAGUGCGGAUGGGAUAAACGCUGAAGGCAUCUAAGCGUGAAGCCCACCUCAAGAAUAAGACUCCACAAUAGACCCCUGGAGGACUACCAGGUAGAUAGGUCAUCGGUGGAAGCGCUGUAAGGCGUGUAGCUUGAUGAUACUAAUCGGUCGAAAGCUUCU
rnacentral:rRNA from 1 species